AUGACUUAUAAAAGUUCAUCUUCGUCACAUAAGACGUCUGGGUAUGGUGGAGAAGUGAAUAAUUAUUCUGAAUCCAUGUUUCAUUCUUCUUCUUUGAAAAAUCAAUGGAGACCUAACUACUGUUGUGGUGAUUUUGCUAUACUCAAAAGGACAACAACAAUUAAAAAAAUUGUGAAGCAAUUUUGGGGAUGUCCCCACUAUAAAGGGAAUAUAAAUAAUGGAUGUGAUUAUUUUGAUUGA